GGACUACCGGGGUAUCUAAUCCUGUUUGCUCCCCACGCUUUCGAGCCUCAGCGUCAGUAAAAGCCCAGCAAGCCGCCUUCGCCACCGGUGUUCCUCCAUAUAUCUACGCAUUUCACCGCUACACAUGGAAUUCCGCUUGCCCCUACUUCACUCAAGAACUUCAGUUUCAAAUGCAGCUCGCAAGUUGAGCCUGCGCAUUUCACAUCUGACUUAAAGUCCCGCCUACACUCCCUUUACACCCAGUAAUUCCGGACAACGCUUGCCACCUACGUAUUACCGCGGCUGCUGGCAC
rnacentral:rRNA from 1 species